ACCUCCUAAGAAGUCCGAAUUUAGGAGCUUACAAGUCGAAGAAAGACUUGGGUUUGAAUAGUACUGGGUUGGGUGACCUCCUAGGAAGUCCAAAUUUAGGAGCUU
rnacentral:rRNA from 1 species